UACGUAGGAGACGAGCGUUGUCCGGAUUUACUGGGCGUAAAGGGUGCGCAGGUGGCGGCGCGCGUGGGGGGUGAAAUCGCCCGGCUUAACUGGGCGGGGGCCUUCCAGACGGCGUGGCUUGAGCAGCGGAGGGGGACGUGGAAUUCCGGGUGGAGCGGUGAAAUGCGUUGAUAUCGGAAGGAACGCCGGUGGCGAAAGCGGCGUGCUGGCCCUCUUCUGACGCUGAGGCGCGAAAGCCAGGGGAGCGAACGGG
rnacentral:rRNA from 1 species